rnacentral:ncRNA from 1 species
AAUCUUCAGGGCAGAGUGAAAUUCUCUACCGGUGGUAAAGCCCACGAGCGUAAAAGCUGAUUUGGUGAGCAAAUGCAAUUCCAAAGCCGACAGUAUAGUCUGGAUGAAAGAAGAA